AUGCACGUUGGCGGCGUGCCUAAUACAUGCCAGUCGAGCGAACGGACGAGAAGCUUGCUUCUCUGAUGUUAGCGGCGGACGGGUGAGUAACACGUGGAUAACCUACCUAUAAGACUGGGAUAACUUCGGGAGACCGGAGCUAAUACCGGAUAAUAUUUUGAACCGCAUGGUUCAAAAGUGAAAGACGGUCUUGCUGUCACUUAUAGAUGGAUCCGCGCUGCAUUAGCUAGUUGGUAAGGUAACGGCUUACCAAGGCAACGAUGCAUAGCCGACCUGAGAGGGUGAUCGGCCACACUGGAACUGAGACACGGUCCAGACUCCUACGGGAGGCAGCAGUAGGGAAUCUUCCGCAAUGGGCGAAAGCCUGACGGAGCAACGCCGCGUGAGUGAUGAAGGUCUUCGGAUCGUAAAACUCUGUUAUUAGGGAAGAACAUAUGUGUAAGUAACUGUGCACAUCUUGACGGUACCUAAUCAGAAAGCCACGGCUAACUACGUG
rnacentral:rRNA from 1 species